GGUGGUAUAGCCAAGUGGUAAGGCAGUGGUCUGCAAAACCGUGAUCGCCGGUUCGACUCCGGUUACCACCU
rnacentral:tRNA from 2 species